rnacentral:tRNA from 1 species
GCCUGGGUGGCUCAGUCGGUUGGGCGUCUGACUUCGGCUCAGGUCACAAUCUCGUGGUCCGUGAGUUCGAGCCCCGCGUCGGGCU